rnacentral:piRNA from 1 species
UCACAAACACCUCUUGCUUCGGGAGCUAU